rnacentral:rRNA from 1 species
UACGUAGGGUGCAAGCGUUAAUCGGAAUUACUGGGCGUAAAGCGUGCGCAGGCGGUUAUGCAAGACAGAUGUGAAAUCCCCGGGCUCAACCUGGGAAUUGCGAUGGAGACUGCAAGGCUAGAAUCUGGCAGAGGGGGGUAGAAUUCCACGUGUAGCAGUGAAAUGCGUAGAGAUGUGGAGGAACACCGAUGGCGCAAGGCAGCCCCCUGGGUCAAGAUUGACGCUCAUGCACGAAAGGCGUGGGGAGCAAACAGGAUUAGACGUACCC